AACUAGAGCUUGGGAGGGGGCGGCCCGCGGGCUGUAAAGACAUCCUAUGAGCUGGACUUUUAACUGACUUAGAAGAUGAGUAGCAAAAUUUGGCACCUUUCAAAUUUUGAUCAGAUACUUAGGUCUCUUUACAAACAGGUUCACGUUUUUAUAGAUCGGAUUUUAUUUGUGAGUCUUAACAAAACUAAGAUGGUAUCUCGGCUUGUAACUGUUUGAAUUUCCUCUAUUUAGCUUUCGCCAGUCAAAACAAGUGGUGGAUCCCUGGUCCGUAACUACUUACUGAGCAACUGUUGAAUCAAUGUUUUGCUUUCUUUUCAGCAGGUCGGCUGACUAACGUCCAAGCGGCCUUCACUUGCCAUUCAUCUUGAAAGUGGAGCGAGGAGAAACUCAGACUGAAGUCAGACCUACAAAGGACCCAGCGUUUCCUUUGAAGCAUGGGACCCUCACAGAGGGAGCUGGCAAAAGAUAGAUUAAGCAAGGAGAACAAGCAAGAAUGGUCUUUCUGCCCAAGUGGAGCAGUGCUGGGGACCAGGCAAGCAGCUCAGUGCUGAGACCGUUCUGCUGCCAAUGGUCCCCCACAAGUAGCAGAUAGAUGGGCCGUGGAGCAGCUUGAGGUCUCCUGAACUACUAGGAAGUGCUUAUCUUGAAGUGUUUAUCUUGAAAUAGCAUCAGUCCUACUUCCUACCAGUGUCUAGUAUUCCCAAGCCAUCCUAAGACUCAAAGUGUAGAAGGAAACAAAAACAAAAAACUUCUUUAGAGUCUCUGCCACUAUGCAGUGCUUGUCACAGCUGGCCCUCGCUCACUCUUCAGCACAGCCUACAAGGUAAGAAAUACCAUCCUCAUGUUUCAGAGAAGGCAACUGACCCUCAGAAAGGUUAAAUAAUUUCCCAGAAGUUACACAGAAGAGAGACACAAAACUGAAACUCAAACACGGAUCUUCCCAAAUUAAAGCCACGUUUUGUUUACUGACUGCUAUCCCAUCCGAUUCAGGCUUCCAAAGUUACUUGGUAAGAUCAUCCACAGUAGAGUGGCGGACUCCGACAGGCGGCCAGAGAGCUGAAGAAGGCUUAAAGAAUCAGGUGCUGUUCCUGACAGGGAUGGGAGAGGCCCCUAAGGCAGCCCCAUGCGCACAGCUCCUCUGGAGUCUGUAUGUUUUGAUUUCUGCAAGCAUGUGCCAAGACUUCCAACAACAUGGUAGAACUGAACUGUAUGUCUUGUGUGGGGAUAUAUCUUGCCUUAAACAAGGCAUGCAGUGGCAAGUGCCUCUUCUGGAUAAAAGACUGAAAAGCCAGCACAGAUUGUUCCAUCUGGACAACUUGCAGCAGUGACGCAGGAGACCAUGUUGAAACUGAACCUCCAUCACCCUGAGUCCUCCAGUUUCUUGCUGGAUCACAGUGGACACUCAGCGGGAGCAGAAAAUCCGAGCUAUCUGGGGUACUUUGUUACUGUACCAUAACUUCAUCUCACUGACAGAUACAAAUCAAAUAGUAGGCCUAUUUCUGGAUAGAAAACACAGGAAAUCAUUCAGAAAAUAAAUAGAUUGAAUGAAGAAUAUCUA